ensembl:ncRNA lncRNA:CR43967 long non-coding RNA:CR43967
GAUACCAAGAGUGAGGGAAGAGAAACUGCGAAUAAAACGAUCUUCAUUUGUCUAAGCCAAUGAGCGUUGUUGUUUAUGUUGUUUAUGUACAAAGUAGCGCGCCCACUCAGUAUCGACAUCUGAUCACCGAUGGAAGAUCGGCAGCCGAGUACUCAGCGCUCCAAGCGACUAAUCACCGCGCAACAAGCAGCGGAGUAUAAUUACCUUCCCAUCUUGUAACUAGUGCAUAUAAUAAACCACCGAUU